AUUGAACGCUGGCGGCAGGCCUAACACAUGCAAGUCGAGCGAGUGGCGGACGGGUGAGUAAUGUCUGGGAAACUGCCUGAUGGAGGGGGAUAACUACUGGAAACGGUAGCUAAUACCGCAUACCAUCAGAUGUGCCCAGAUGGGAUUAGCUAGUAGGUGGGGUAAUGGCUCACCUAGGCGACGAUCCCUAGCUGGUCUGAGAGGAUGACCAGCCACACUGGAACGUAUACACGGUCCAGACUCCUACGGGAGGCAGCAGUGGGGAAUAUUGCACAAUGGGCGCAAGCCUGAUGCAGCCAUGCCGCGUGUAUGAAGAAGGCCUUCGGGUUGUAAAGCACUUUCAGCGGGGAGGCGUUACCCGCAGAAGAAGCACCGGCUAACUCCGUGCCAGCCGCCGCGGUAAUUC
rnacentral:rRNA from 1 species